rnacentral:rRNA from 1 species
UACGAAGGGGGCUAGCGUUGUUCGGAAUCACUGGGCGUAAAGCGUAUGCAGGCGGAUCGUUAAGUCAGGGGUGAAAUCCCGAGGCUCAACCUCGGAACUGCCUUUGAUACUGGCGAUCUUUGAGUCCGGGAGAGGUGAGUGGAACUGCGAGUGUAGAGGUGAAAUUCGUAGAUAUUCGCAAGAACACCAGUGGCGAAGGCGGCUCACUGGCCCGGUACUGACGCUGAGAUACGAAAGCGUGGGGAGCAAACAGG